GCGGGUGUAGCUCAGCUGGUAGAGCGCCACCUUCCCAAGGUGGAUGUCGCGAGUUCGAUUCUCGUCGCCCGCUCCA
rnacentral:tRNA from 1 species